rnacentral:misc_RNA from 1 species
GGUCUGGCAUGUAAAACUGGUUAAUGGCUCCCUUGCUUCCCCCUAAUCCUUCCGGGCCAGUAUCUUCCAGUUGACGCGGCCUGACUUAGCUUACAUUCAGUUCUUUCUCCUUCAGCGCAUUUUUGGAUUUAAUUUGAAAAUCAUAAUUUCUUACUUAACAAUGCUUGUACUUCAACAUUUAAAAACCUAUUCUUAGUUUCAUUUAAAUCAAUGCAAAUAUCUUAAUCAUUUUAUUUUAUUAGACUAUUUACCUCAUAAGUAAAACAUGUAUUGUACAUAUUUCAGAGAGAAUGGCAGAAAUUAUGGAAGAAGAUAAAGUUACCAUCAAAGAAGAAAUCAAAGAAGAAAUCAAAGAAGAAAUCGAAAAAGAAAUCAAAGAAGAUGUAAAUGAGGAAAGUACAGAAAAUCGAGAUGAGUUUGUGAAGAUUGAAGUAGAUCCCCUUUUCUCUGAACCAAAGAGACUUAAAAAGAGUAAACUGAGAGAAAAAAGAGAUAAAAGUUAUCCCUGUGGAAAAUGUGAUUAUGUGGCAACUAAAUCCAUCUAUUUAAAGAGGCAUAUUGAAUCUAAACAUGAAGGAGUGAGAUAUCCUUGUUCUCAUUGUGAAUACGCUGCCACUCAGCCAGGUGAUCUGAAGAUACAUAUUGAAAAUAAACAUGAAGGAUUGAGAUAUCCAUGCGACCAAUGUGAUCACACUGCAACUACAGCAAGAAGUCUGAAGAAACAUAUUGAAUCUAAACAUGAAGGAAUACGAUAUCCAUGCGAUCAAUGCGAGUACGCUGCCACUCAAGCAGGUGAUCUGAAGAAACAUAUUGAAAAUAAGCAUAAAGGAGUGAGAUAUCCGUGUUCUCAUUGUGAAUACGCUGCCACUCAAAUAAGUAGUCUAAAGAGGCACAUUGAAUCUAUACAUGACAAAGUGAGGUAUCCUUGUUUACAAUGCAUGUAUGCUGCAAUUAACGCCAUUGAUCUAAAGAAACAUGUAGAUAGUGAACAUGCAGGAGUGAGAUAUCUAUGCGACCAAUGUGCAUACGCUGCCUCUACAGCAAGUUGUCUUAAAAAGCAUAUUGACUCUAAACAUGGAGGAGGGAUAUAUCCAUGCAACCAAUGUGUAUACUCUGCCACUACAGCAAGUAGGCUGAAGAGACAUUUGGAAUCUAAACAUGAAGGAGUCAGAUAUCCCUGUAAUCAGUGUGAAUACGUUGCUGCAGGGGUAAGGAGUCUGAAGUUACACAUUGAAUCUAAACACGAAGAAGUGAGAUAUCUCUGCGACAAAUGUGAUUAUGCUGCCACUACAGCAGGUAAUCUGAAGUUCCAUAUUGAAAGUAAACAUGAAGGAGUGAGAUAUCCUUGUUUACAAUGCGUGUAUGCUGCAACUAACGCAAGUGAUCUAAUGAAACAUGUAAAAGUGAAACACGAAGGAGUGAGAUAUCCAUGUGAUCAAUGUGAGUACGCUGCAACUCACCCAAGUAAUCUAAAGAAACAUAUUAAAAUUAAACAUGAAGGAUUAAGAUAUCCUUGCGAUCAGUGUGAGUACCGUUCCACUGAAGUUUGUUCUCUUAAGAAACAUAUUGAAAAAAAACAUAAAGGAGUGAGAUAUUUUUGCGAUCAAUGUGAGUAUGCUGCCAAAACAGAAUUUUUUCUGAAUAGACAUAUUAAAAAAAAACACAUGAAAGAGUGACAUAUCCAUGCGACCUACAGCAACUCGUCUACAGAAGCAUUUUGAUACUAAACACUAAUGAGUAAUAACGCUGCCACUCGACCAAAUAUUCUGAAGAUUCAUAUUGAAAUAAACAUAAAGGGGCAGACAAGCAAAAUAUAUAGAUAGAUAAAGAGUGAAUUUUAAUCAGUGUAAAUCAUUGUUUUAGCAAAUAUAUUUAUUUUAAUUCAAAGCCUAUUUAACUUUAAAUAUAACAUCUAGUGUACAUAUUUCAGA